ACAUGUAAUAACUCCUCAUUGGGUUAUAUAAACGUUUAUAGCUCGCUGUAACCAAUUAAUUGUGCAAACAUUACAGGCUUAAAUGUUACUGGAAACAGUCCAGUGCUCUUGGUCCACAGUGGUAACACAAGACAGUGGAGCUGUACGACUCAUUUUGUUCCAGAGUCACUUGUUAUGACGACACAGCGCUGAUUAGUUACUUGCCUUUGUGUAUUUAUGGAGUUUAAACUUCAGUCAGUGCUGAUUCACUGCGAUGUGGGCCGAGCCCGGACGGAAGCUUGUUACGAGCCAGGGCAUCGGUGAGUAAAACCAGCCUAUGACGUAGAAUAUGAAUCUGCAGAUGCCUGAGUUGAAUUUGUGACCGUCAAAACUGCUGUGUUUUUUUGAUGGACAAAACACUACAAUUUGUGGCUAAAAAACACAGGUUAGUUUAUAACAGAGCUCAAAUGACCCGCUGAUUGUCCCUAUUGGACGUGUGUGUGGUGUGGCCCCUCCCUGCGGUGUCCCCUCUGCAAAGCCUCCAAUCCCUUCCUGUGGCCAAGCACUCUAUGCAUAUACAUGAGCCCCCGAGGGCUCCAGGACCUCGGACGGGCUAGAUAGCUGAGGGGAUUCAGUUGGGCUGUUUUGUCUGGGGCUCCUUCAUCCAACAAUCCCCAGAGAAAGGACUGCGGCUUCCACCUUUCCUGGCCACGGGGAGAUGACGGCUCCCAGCGUUAGAGGGCCACUUGUGGUGCUGCUCCUGCAGCUCGUCCUCGUUUGCUCCGCUCAGAGGAGUGAGGGGACUCCUGGCCCUGUUGGACCUGCAGGUGUCCCAGGAAUUGAUGGCAUAGAUGUGAGCUUUCUUUUCUCCAAGAUAUUAUUGUUAUUAAGUUCACUAUCUGAUCUCCUCAAGUCACGGAGUCUGUCUUUGUUUCAGGGGGAAAGAGGAGUUGGUGGCGAAGAUGGCCCACCUGUAAUUAUAAUAAUUCAUGUUUUUAAACUUUUAAAAGUUAAAAAAAGUAUUUCAGCUGAAUGUUUUCAUUGUAUAGUUUCCCUGAUUAUAUGUACGUCUAUGGACCAUUUUUGUUUUUAGGGGCCUGAUGGAGAUGCAGGGAAACCUGGCUCUUCAGGGUUACCAGGAAUCCCAGGGAAUGAUGUAAGUCAUCUUUAUACUAUUACAUUCACUACAUUUAGAGUGUAACCAUCACGACUGCAGCCACAUCAAGUGUGAUUGUCCCACCGUGUAAGAUGUGUUUGUACUAGUUCAUUUUAAGCAGCUAAUGCUUUUUUUGUGGUGGUGUUGAAAUUUUGGGAAAACCUUUAUUAGGAAGUCCUAGCUCUCAACAAUAGCAGCCUUGUGUUCCUGUUGAGAGUCCUGAAACAGCAUGGGAAAACUUUUUGUUUUUUUUCUUCAAUGAGCCAGAGGAAUGUUACUCUGGGCUUGGUUUGAAGUCUGAGAUCUUUGACCUCUGCCCUGGUGUUGACUUUUUCUGUGUGUCUGUCAAAGUGAACACGCUUGUGACAUGUUCAUAAACAGAACUUUCAUUUUAAUGUGAGUAAUCCUGCUGUAGCUAUGGAUACAUGAGGCUCCUCCUACCGGAGUGUAAUAUAAUGACGUAAUACAGAUAAUCAUGAAUAAAAAUACUAAAUGAAAAUAUACUGAGACUGCU
rnacentral:lncRNA from 1 species